GGAUGAGCCCGCGUCCUAUUAGCUUGUUGGUGGGGUAAUGGCCCACCAAGGCGACGACCGGUAGCUGGUCUGAGAGGAUGACCGGCCACACUGGGACUGAGAUACGGCCCAGACUCCUACGGGAGGCAGCAGUGGGGAAUAUUGCACAAUGGGCGCAAGCCUGAUCCAGCCAUGCCGCGUGAGUGAUGACGGCCUUCGGGUUGUAAAGCUCUUUCACCAGGGAUGAAGGAUAAGUGACGGUACCUGGAGAAGAAGCACCGGCCAACUUCGUGCCAGCAGCCGCGGUAAUACGAAGGGUGCUAGCGUUGUUCGGAAUUACUGGGCGUAAAGCGCACGUAGGUGGCUUUUCGCGUCAGGGGUGAAAUCUCACAGCUUAACUGUGGAACUGCCGUGGAUACUGGAAGACUUGAGUACGGUAGAGGUGACUGGAAUUCCGAGUGUAGAGGUGGAAUGCGUAGAUAUCAGGAGGAACACCGGUGGCGAAGGCGGGUCUCUGGGCAGUAACUGACGCUGAGGAGCGAAAGCGUGGGGAGCGAACAGGAUUAGAUACCCUGGUAGUCCACGCCGUAAACGGUGGGUACUAGGUGUGGGUUCCUUCCUUCGGAUCCGUGCCGUAGCUAACGCAUUAAGUACCCCGCCUGGGGAGUACGGCCGCAAGGCUAAAACUCAAAGGAAGUGACGGGGGCCCGCACAAGCGGCGGAGCAUGUGGGUUAUUCGAUGCAACGCG
rnacentral:rRNA from 1 species